GACGAACGCUGGCGGCGUGCUUAACACAUGCAAGUCGAACGGUAAGGCCCUUCGGGGUACACGAGUGGCGAACGGGUGAGUAACACGUGGGUGAUCUGCCCUGCACUUCGGGAUAAGCCUGGGAAACCGGGUCUAAUACCGGAUAGGACCCUGGGAUGCAUGUCCUGGGGUGGAAAGCUUUUGCGGGGUGGGAUGGGCCCGCGGCCUAUCAGCUUGUUGGUGGGGUGAUGGCCUACCAAGGCGACGACGGGUAGCCGGCCUGAGAGGGUGACCGGCCACACUGGGACUGAGAUACGGCCCAGACUCCUACGGGAGGCAGCAGUGGGGAAUAUUGCACAAUGGGCGCAAGCCUGAUGCAGCGACGCCGCGUGAGGGAUGACGGCCUUCGGGUUGUAAACCUCUUUCAGCACCGACGAAGCGCAAGUGACGGUAGGUGCAGAAGAAGGACCGGCCAACUACGUGCCAGCCGCCGCAGUAA
rnacentral:rRNA from 1 species